rnacentral:rRNA from 1 species
UACGGAGGAUGCGAGCGUUAUCCGGAUUUAUUGGGUUUAAAGGGUGCGUAGGCGGGAUGCCAAGUCAGCGGUCAAAUACGGGGGCUCAACCUGCGUCCGCCGUUGAAACUGGCGUUCUUGAGUGGGCGAGAAGUACGCGGAAUGCGUGGUGUAGCGGUGAAAUGCUUAGAGAUCAUACAGAACACCGAUUGCGAAGGCAGCUUACCAAACUAUAUCUGACGUUGAGGCACGAAAGCGUGGGUAGCAAACAGG